GACUUUUGAAAAAGUGUCCAAAAGGGGUUAAAAGGGGUCUUAUUUAAGAGUAUAUCAAAAAUUUUGUUUCACACAUAUAUACAGAAAAAAGAAAAAAUAACCAAGUAUUCGGUACAAUUACCCUUAUUAAAUUGAACAAAUCAUAUCUUAUUAAUACGGAGGCUAAUUUGUAUUUAAUUUUUAAAUCGUAUAGGACCAAGAAAAAAAGGG
rnacentral:lncRNA from 1 species